rnacentral:lncRNA from 1 species
CUCCCCCCACGUCGUCGUCUCCCCUCACGUCGUCUGCCCUGAGCCCGCUCCCUUCGAAGGUAACCAUCCUGCAGUAGUGAGGGCUCCUUGCUGAGCACGUGUGGCUGCGACUUCAGGAGCGUUCUGGGUUGAGAAUUCCAAAAGGGCUUCGCUCAGGCCUGGCUUUGGGUCUUUGGGCUCCUGACGCGAGCUUUUACUUCCAGGCUUUGGCGGUCUGGCCUCAGGAGGUCAAGGCUGCAGUGAGCCGUGCGCGAGCCACUGCACCAUCCUGGGCAAUCAGACCCCAUCUCUAAAGUUCAAAACAACAUCUUUGUAAGGGUUUCGGGUCUCUGAGCCCAUGAACCUGCCCAGGCCCUGCAGAGGUGAGGGUGGCCCUAGAGUGGCUGGGGGGUUGUGGAGACCAGAACCAGGGCAGAAGGGCAGGGAGGGUGGGGGCCCUGCCGAGGUCUCCCACCGCUGACCCCUGACCCCUGGCCCCCUUCCACCUCGGCCCACCGAGAGAGGCCGGCACAGCGCAGACUGCGGGGUCAGUGACACUCCCCUCAGCGUCUCCAGCCACAGAAGGGCCGUGGCCUGCCUUCGCCCUCCUCACCCGUGUCCCGGGGCCACGUUUGAACUUUAGGCCUUGUUCUGACUUCAUUGAAACCCUCCUGAAGUGCAGACUCUGUGAAGGCACCUCCCGGAGUGGGGGCUGCAAAGAUCAUGGCCACUGUGCCACCCAC